GGAACAGUGGUAAUUCCUACGAUUAAGAAACCUGUUUGCAAAAGGAUCCGCCUUCCGGGGGGGUCAUCAAAAUUUUAUCAGGUGGGAAAUUCGGUGGAACACAGUGGAGCCUCGUCCUCCGGGCCAAUGUCAUUUUAGGCAUUGUCCCCUGCUCCUGAGAGAAGAACUAUCCUGGGGAACCAGUCUUUACCGACCGUUGUUAUCAGAAAUUUACGGAGUCUGGCUUAGGUCGGACCCCGAUGGGAACGGCAACGGUUGUUCCGUUUGACUUGUCGCCCGCCACGGCGUGCGUGUCAAGGUCUGUUGAGUGCAAUCGUAGGACGUCAUUCGUGGCGAACCCGAUACCGAUUACUGCUGCUGUUCC
rnacentral:RNase_P_RNA from 2 species